rnacentral:lncRNA from 1 species
AUUGCAUUUACUCUAAUUAACGCUCCUGAGGAGAGGGCUAGAAAUGCCCUGCUCAGCACCACAUAAUAUAAAAACAGAUUAAGGAUAAUGCCCAUUGUUUCUUCAAGGGUGAAGUUUUUCUUUAUCUGUUGUAUUGAACAACAGCAAAAGCUGCUCUUAAUCUCUAGGUUGAGCUUCAGAGUCAGAGAUGAAAUGCUACAAGAAGCGUUGGCUGGUGGCCUCAGUUUUUCUGAAGAAUAUUCCUGCAGCAUGCUUAAGGACCAAAUGGGUGAGGUUCUUCUGAUCAGAGGUAGGUGUGUGCCCCACCAGCUCCUCCAGCUAUGCUUCCAUUCUCCUCGCAGAAUAGGAAUAGGAUUUCUCAGAGCCAGACUUCACUGCUCUUUGAUUCAUCAUCUACAUUUGGCUGAUGAAACAUGCCUUCCUUAACUUUGAUGACUGCAGAGGUAUAAAGGUGGAGUGUACAUCUCAGAAGUAGGCAUCUACCAUACAGACAUCUGUAAUGUGUGCCCUACCUAUCUACAACUGAUUUGAUUAUUCCUCUUCCUUUCCCUUGGAAAACCACUGAAACACCAGCCAACAUGCAGGCCUGGGCCAGGAAGAGGAAAGCUCUUCAGAUGCUGUUCAUCACAUUUCUCCCCUUUGACACCUGGGACAUCAGCACUGUGAGCUGCCUUUCCUCAAGUUUUUAUUGCCUUUCAGCAUGGAACUGAAGUGAUUGUUCAUACACUUUAACAGGAAACAUAUAUGAACUCUGGAACGGACAGACCACAGCCUAGAGUAGAGAGACAAUCCAGAUAAAUGCUAUAGGGGGCAACAAUAGCAUACCUUUUAAUGGACUUGACUUGCAUACCUUGCAUUAUUUAUCCCUAUCUGCACAGGACAUCCUUGAGGAACACAAAACACUCUGGUUCUGAAAGCCCAGUUAUGCUAUCCAGGUUCUGUCCAGAAACCACGUCCUCAGUCUAGGGAUGGACCACUCUGACAUCCCAGAGAAACUGUGAAGCGGGAAUGGAACCUCACAGCAUCUGCAGAUUGCUCAGUGGCCAAAAUAAUAUGAACAUCUUUGAGGAAAUGAGAAGGAAGGGAAGGCAUCCCCACUGUCUUCCUCAUCAAUGGUGUUUUUUAGAGCAAUGUGAGUGUUGUCUUUUUUUGUUUGUUUGUUUUGAAUCGAAUCCCAGAAAGGUAGGAAAUGGAGUUGAAAAGUAAGUGCUUGCUUAUCUUUGGAUUUCAGCCUGGAGGUGUAUCUUCUCCACCUUAUUUGUAUUUCUCCUUUUUCCACAGCUUUCUCCAGCCUCUCGAGUGGCAGAGGUAACUACCAGUUAAAGGAAAUGUCAGCAGGUCAUUUAAUGACUUUCCCUCUCUUCUAAGUGUUUGGCUCUUAAUUAUACAUAGAAAGAUACACAAGAGAUUAUAACAAGAGGAAUAGCAGGCAGCCAAAACCAAACUAAUUUAUUUAUUGCAUGUGACAUAUGGCAACAUAAGACAAGAUCUCUGGCUUAUGGGCAUUUUGGCAAGACACAGGCUGGAUCCUAUGGCAACGCCUUGUUUGUACAGCUUCCAUUUCUGCUGCUCAGUCCUGUUUUUUCUUUCAUGUCUCAUCUGUAGGCCUUCAAAGAGAGGACCUUAACCUUCCUUGGCUGGUUUUAACUUAGACAUUGCUUAGGCAUAUGCCCAUGGGUAAGAACCAUCCUGCUUCAAGGAGAUACAGCGUCUUAGAAAGCACUUUUGCCUGAAGUGUAAAUGGAGACAGUGAUGUUUACCUCUUUUAUCCACCUCAAAGUGUAGUGUGAGGGAUAGAUAAUGUUUUAAAGUGCCAUCUAAUUGUUGAGUGUUUUUCUUGUCAUCGGGUAAAGAACACAAGAGCAGCCAGUCUGGCUCAGAUCACCCCUCAACUUCCAACAUGGCCAAGACACUUGCCUUUACCCUUGUAUAGCCUUCAAUUGUUUCCCAUUGAGCCAAAAUAACAAUAAAUGGUUGCUUAUUCCUUUAACUGCCA